rnacentral:rRNA from 1 species
UGGGGAAUAUUGGACAAUGGGGGCAACCCUGAUCCAGCAAUGCCGCGUGUGUGAAGAAGGUCUUCGGAUUGUAAAGCACUUUCGACGGGGACGAUGAUGACGGUACCCGUAGAAGAAGCCCCGGCUAACUUCGUGCCAGCAGCCGCGGUAAUACGAAGGGGGCUAGCGUUGCUCGGAAUGACUGAGCGUAAAGGGCGUGUAGGCGGUUUACACAGUCAGAUGUGAAAUCCCCGGGCUUAACCUGGGAGCUGCAUUUGAUACGUGUAGACUAGAGUGUGAGAGAGGGUUUGUGGAAUUCCCAGUGUAGAGGUGAAAUUCGUAGAUAUUGGGAAGAACACCGGUGGCGAAGGCGGCAACCUGGCUCAUGACUGACGCUGAGGCGCGAAAGCGUGGGGAGCAAACAGGAUUAGAUACCCUGGUAGUCCACGCUGUAAACGAUGUGUGCUAGAUGUUGGGUAACUUUGUUAUUCAGUGUCGCAGUUAACGCGUUAAGCACACCGCCUGGGGAGUACGGCCGCAAGGUUGAAAC